CGACGGCGCACGGGUGNGUAACGCGUAUGCAACCUGCCCGUUUCAGCGGGAUAACCCGGAGAAAUCCGGCCUAAUACCGCAUGUGGCCAGGGAGGCAUCUUCUUUCGGCCAAAGGAGGCGACUCCGGAGACGGAUGGGCAUGCGUGACAUUAGCUUGUUGGCGGGGUAACGGCCCACCAAGGCGACGAUGUCUAGGGGUUCUGAGAGGAAGGUCCCCCACACUGGUACUGAGACACGGACCAGACUCCUACGGAAGGCAGCAG
rnacentral:rRNA from 1 species